CAUCUCCGGGGGUAGAGCACUGUUUCGGCAAGGGGGUCAUCCCGACUUACCAACCCGAUGCAAACUGCGAAUACCGGAGAAUGUUAUCACGGGAGACACACGGCGGGUGCUAACGUCCGUCGUGAAGAGGGAAACAACCCAGACCGCCAGCUAAGGUCCCAAAGUCAUGGUUAAGUGGGAAACGAUGUGGGAAGGCCCAGACAGCCAGGAUGUUGGCUUAGAAGCAGCCAUCAUUUAAAGAAAGCGUAAUAGCUCACUGGUCGAGUCGGCCUGCGCGGAAGAUGUAACGGGGCUAAACCAUGCACCGAAGCUGCGGCAGCGACGCUGAUGCGUUGUUGGGUA
rnacentral:rRNA from 1 species